GCCGGGUAUGGUGGUGCCUGCCUGUAGUCCCAGCCACCCGGGAGGCUGAGGUGGGAGGAUCACUUGAGCCCCGGAGGUUGAGGCUGCAGUGAGCCAACAUCACGCCACUGCACUCCAGCCUGGGCAAUAGAGUGAGACCCUGUCUCAA
ensembl:misc_RNA Metazoa_SRP Metazoan signal recognition particle RNA